GUCGAGAAUUUUUCACAAUGGGGGAAACCCUGAUGGAGCGACGCCGCGUGGAGGAUGAAGGUCUUCGGAUUGUAAACUCCUGUCAUGCGAGAACAAGAAAGUGAUAGUAUCGCAAGAGGAAGAGACGGCUAACUCUGUGCCAGCAGCCGCGGUAAUACAGAGGUCUCAAGCGUUGUUCGGAUUCAUUGGGCGUAAAGGGUGCGUAGGCGGCGUGGUAAGUUGAGUGUGAAAUCCUGGGGCUUAACCUCAGAACUGCACUCAAUACUGCCAUGCUUGAGGAAUGUAGAGGAGAGUGGAAUUCACGGUGUAGCAGUGAAAUGCGUAGAUAUCGUGAGGAAGACCAGUUGCGAAGGCGACUCUCUGGGCAUUUCCUGACGCUGAGGCACGAAGGCCAGGGGAGCAAACGGGAUUAGAUACCCCAGUAGUCC
rnacentral:rRNA from 1 species